GACGAACGCUGGCGGCGUGCUUAACACAUGCAAGUCGAACGGAAAGGCCCUGCUUUUGUGGGGUGCUCGAGUGGCGAACGGGUGAGUAACACGUGAGUAACCUGCCCUUGACUUUGGGAUAACUUCAGGAAACUGGGGCUAAUACCGGGUAGGAGCUCCUGCUGCAUGGGGGGGGUUGGAAAGUUUCGGCGGUUGGGGAUGGACUCGCGGCUUAUCAGCUUGUUGGUGGGGUAGUGGCUUACCAAGGCUUUGACGGGUAGCCGGCCUGAGAGGGUGACCGGCCACAUUGGGACUGAGAUACGGCCCAGACUCCUACGGGAGGCAGCAGUGGGGAAUAUUGCACAAUGGGCGGAAGCCUGAUGCAGCAACGCCGCGUGCGGGAUGACGGCCUUCGGGUUGUAAACCGCUUUCGCCUGUGACGAAGCGUGAGUGACGGUAAUGGGUAAAGAAGCACCGGCUAACUACGUG
rnacentral:rRNA from 1 species